UAGACAUCGUAGAUAUUGUAAACUACAUACGUAUUUUUUCGAAUGUUUGGUAUUCAGGACUGAAGAAUAUUACCAAGUUGCAAAAUUGCGUUAUGUCAUCAAGCCAUAGGCACAUUUCCGAGCAAGUCGCAGUGCGCCAUUAUGACGUCACGUGCUGGCGUGAUACAAAUAAAUUGCAAUCCAGCUACGAUUGAAAAAUUGAACACAGGGAAAUUACUUACUCUUAGUGGCAUACCAAUAUCUUCAGGAAGUUUUUUAUGUUUUUCUCAAAAUCGAUAAAAUAGACUCACGCACUUUUGUUAUUAGCGUGACGAUAUGCUGUAUGUCAGGGAUUGCGAACCUUUUUGAAAGGAGGGGUCAAAAAUAUUUACAUGAUGGAGAAGAGACACGGGUUCCAGAGAUAUUUAAACAAUGUCUGCAUCAACAAACACUUUAUGUUGCAUCUUUACAGCAAUUCUUAUAAUCCUUGGUUAUGCAAAUAAAUCUUACCUGCUUAACCUCAGCAUGAAGAUUGAAAAGUGGUUACGUUUCGUGUCACAGCGUUUUCAUCAUGAAGAAUAGAACAUUAUGCAGGCCUGAACUUGAUCUCAUAUUUGGAUUUCUUCAAGGUUAUCGUGAGGCACGUAGCUGUGCUUAACGAUAUUAUUUCUACAGUUCUUCAAGGAGUAUUACACGAUUAUUUAAUUUUUGGAACCCCGCGUUAUUGCAAGUAGCAUCGACAAUAAAUAAACAUUUUAAUUAUUAAA